rnacentral:lncRNA from 1 species
CACACCUACUCCAACAAGACCACACCUCCUAUUAGUGCCACUCCCUGGGCCAAGCAUAUUCAAACCGCCACAGAUUCUUUGGGUAACCCAGGAGUGGUGGAGCUGGAUCAUAGUAUAAUUUCAUUUCUAGCCUCCAUGAUGAUUUACAUAUUGUCCAGUAAAUAAAGUUUCCCUUCCUACACACACACACACACACACACACACCGUGCAUAUGUAUGCACAUCCUUGUCAGUGUUUGCCCAUUGCUGACCUUUCCUCUAGAUCUUCUCUAUAAAGUCCUUCCUUCAUCUGAGUCUUCAAGUACUUUCCCCACUUAGUCCUUUAGCGGUUUCAGGGAUUCAGGUCUUAGACUUCGAUCCAUUUGGAAUUGGACUCCAGUAGAUCUGGAAGGAAAGGCAGCAAAGAGCAAAUGGGAUCUCAUGAGAUUAAAACACUGCACAGCAGAGAAAGCAUCAGCCGAGGUGAGAGAUUGGGACCUAGUCACAUUUCUCUGAGGACAGUCAUCUGCUGUUGAAGAUGCCAUCCACUGAGUGUAGUAGCCAUCCGCUGUUGAAAAUGCUGUAUUUUCUCCCACGGGUACUUUUGUCAUCUUUGUUAAAAAAAAUCAAGUAUCUGUAGUUCUCCGAGCUUAUUUCUGGGUCCUCUAUCCCAUUUAUCUAUAUGUUCACUUUUGUGCCAAAACCACGCUAUUUUGUUACCACGGCUCUAUCAUAUAACUUGAAACCAAGAAUUGUAACUUCAGCAUUGUUCAGGAUUGCUUUGGUUAUGGGGUAUCUUUCACACUUCCCUGAGAAUUUUAGAAAUUUUAGGGACUUUAGGCAUAUGAUAAUAAUCCUCAGGAGGCUGAGGAAAGAGGAUUACUUGGAGUUUGGGGCUAGCCUGGCAUACAUAGUGAGUUUCAGGACAAUCUGAACUAUGAUGUGAAAUUCUGUCUCAAAAACUAAGAAACAAACUAUAACAAACAAAUCCUACUUAUAAUAGUUUUAAAAUAUGUAGGAACAGGGUAGUAGUGAAGCACACCUUUAAACCCAGCACUCUGGAGACAGAAGCAGUCACAUCUCUCAGUUUGAGGCCAGCCUAGUCUAUAGAGCAAGUUCCAGGAUUAUUAUCAAACACCAAAAUUCCAGCUAUGGUGUUUCUCCCUUGUUUUCUUUCUCAGAAAGUUUGUGAAUAUUUAGAAAAGCCACUAAUUUUUGUUUGUUGAUUUUAAAACCUGUUGCUUCUAUCUUCAUCCAAUUUGAGAGUUUUUUUUGGUGGAGUCUUUGGGGUCUUUUUAGUACAGGAUCCUGUGGUCUGAAAACACAGAUAAUCUGACAUCCUUCCCUAUGUAUGCCCACCUUCCUUCUUUCUCUCACUUUGCGUGCCAGCCAGGAUUUUGACACUAGAUUGAAUACAGGUGAAAAGGAGAAGCACCGUGGUCUCCUUACAGAUCUUAGAGGAAAUGUUCUCAGAUGUGUCCUUCCAGUAUAAUGUUAGAUAAACGCUUGUUGUAUAUAGCUUUAAUUAUGCUUUAUCAUGAAAGGACAUUCUAAAAUCCACACUAGACUUCUUAAAUGUCAUUUCUCUGCUUAAAACUAUACAAUGGGUUCCACUGCCUUUAGAAUGUAACCCACUCCUGUGUAACCCACUACCCCUAUGUGAUGUCAUGUGUCCCCUCCUCUGACUUCCAGUCUUUGUCCAUCUAUGCACAUACCAAACUCUGUCUCCUCAGCAUCUUUGCAUGCAAUGCCUGUGGCCAGGAUAACCACCCAUGCGCUUCUCCUCUUUAUUCAAGUACCUGCUUAAUGUCACCUUCCCACCUAAAUCAGCACCAACACUCCAUUGCCUAAACUUCAUUCUUCUUCUCUGCACCAAUUCAUAUGAGACUUUCUAUCAGUACCUGUUUGCACAUUAAUUUUCUGUCCUUUGCACUAUGGUAGAAAGGCCCAUGAAGAUAGAGACGCUACCAUUUCUCAGAUCCAUUUUGAGGGCACAGAGCUAAGUAACACCGAAAAUAGGGGCUGAUUUUGUUGACUUUAAAAAGUAAGGUAAACAGAGAAGCUGGGUACUGGGUCAAGGGGUAGGGAAGAAAAGAAAGGCUUCUAAAAAGUAAAGCUGGUGAGGUACCAUGGGCUGGACUCAAUGGGUCCCUCUACCCACGGGGAAUCAGAGUCCCAGUAUUCAGGUAGGCAAGGAGUUGGCAGGGUGACAAACAGAAGCAAACACAAGGGAGUGUUGAUCUGAAUGUAAUUUCUCAAAGCAAGCGUCAGACAUAUUACAGAAGGAGCCAAGGAAGUUAAGUGAUACAUUAAGGUCAUCCAAGGUACAUUGAGGUUACCUGAUGCAAAAUGACUUUUACACAAAACAAAGGAAUGCAUACAUAAAAGCUAACAGGAAGCUGGGAUAAAAAUCAAUGUUAACAACUGAGAUCAAAAGCAGCCACACCUAAAGUCCGCUUAUUCUUAGAAGCCAGGGACAAGGGCUUCAUGCCCUUGCCAUAGUUCCAAUUCUAGUCUAUUGUAUAACCCACAUUUCCCUUAGGCCAUUGUAAAUUCCUGUGUAUGGGAGUGGCUCAGCUAUUGUUGUAAGUAUUUACUCUAGUUCCUUCUUAGACCACAACCUCCCUUCUUCCUAGGCCAUUGUAAAUUCCUGUGUAUGGGAGUGACUCUGCUGUUGUUCUAAGUAUACUUUGUAGACUAGCCCUAAGAUUUCUAGCUCUAUUCUAGUAAAUCAUAAUGCCUGAUUUCUUUCACUGUCUCUCUGUCAACACUGGAGGCUUUUCAUCUAAAGGAGUAGCAUUCUUACAAGAAUCAAAGUCCAAGGUUGGCUCAACGAUUUCCUAGGAUAUUGGAACAUUGAUGGAGGCUAAUCUAACUUAGCUAUAUGUCAAAAAUCAUUCCUUAGAGUCACUUAUUUUUUUAAGAUUUAUUUAUUUAUUUAUUUAUUUAUUUAUUUAUUUAUUUAUUUAUUACAUGUAAGUACACUGUAGCUGUCUUCAGACACUCCAGAAGAGGGAGUCAGAUCUCAUUACGGGUGGUUGUGAGCCACCAUGUGGUUGCUGGGAUUUGAACUUUGGACCUUCAGAAAAGCAGUCGGGUGCUCUUACCCACUGAGCCAUCUCACCAGCCCCUUAGAGUCACUUAUAAUAAAACAAUAUUGAAGGAAAGUACAGAGAUCUGUUCACUGACUAACGCAAGAACAGGUUUGGAGCAUUCGUGCUACAGGAUGCCAAGGCUCCAAGAGACUAGGUAUCCGUGAAACUUUUUGCCUCAGAACACUGUCCAAGCUUUUGGGCCUGUCACUCAGUUACCACUGGAAUGGGUGUGGCAGUGAGACUGAAGAGAAGGUUCUGCAAU